ensembl:misc_RNA Metazoa_SRP Metazoan signal recognition particle RNA
GCUGGGCGUAGUGGCGGGCGCCUGUAAUCCCAGCUACUCGGGAGGCUGAGGCAGGAGAAUCGCUUGAACCCAGGCGGCGGAGACUGCAGUGAGCUGAGAUUGUGCCACUGUACUCCAGCCUGGGCGACAGAGUGAGAUUCUGUCUCAA